rnacentral:rRNA from 1 species
UACAGAGGUCCCAAGCGUUGUUCGGAUUCACUGGGCGUAAAGGGUGCGUAGGCGGUCGGGUAAGUCUGACGUGAAAUCUUCAAGCUUAACUUGGAAACUGCGUCGGAUACUAUUCGGCUGGAGGAAUGGAGGGGAGACUGGAAUACUUGGUGUAGCAGUGAAAUGCGUAGAUAUCAAGUGGAACACCAGUGGCGAAGGCGAGUCUCUGGACAUUUUCCUGACGCUGAGGCACGAAAGCCAGGGGGAGCAAAACGGGG